UACAGGGGGCUCGAGCGUUAGUCGGAAUCACUGGGCUUAAAGGGUGCGUAGGCGGUCCGCCAAGUGCUUUGUGAAAUCCCCGAGCUCAACUCGGGAACUGCAGGGCAAACUUGAGGACUUGAAGCAGGUAGGGGCUGGAAGAACAGUAGGUGGAGCGGUGAAAUGCGUAGAUAUCUACUGGAAUGCCGAUGGGGAAGCCGUCCAGCUGGGCCUGUCUUGACGCUGAGGCACGAAAGCGUGGGGAGCAAACAGG
rnacentral:rRNA from 1 species